CGGUGGUGGAUUUCUGGCAGAUGGUCUGGCAGGAAAAGAUCUCAGUCAUUGUGAUGUUGACAGGAUUGGUGGAGCAGAACAAGGUCAAGUGCGAGCAGUACUGGCCAGAGCAGCAGCAAGUAUAUGGGGACUUCACUGUAACACUCAACAACACCAGGACCACCACGGGCCUUAUUACACGUGUCUUCUGCCUGCAGAAGGCAGGCUGUGUUCUCCCAAAAGUGGUGGAG
rnacentral:lncRNA from 1 species